UUGGGGGUCUUGGGGAUCGUGGGCGAUGCGGAGCGGAGCGUCUCAUCUGGCGACUGACCCAGCAAUUCGGCACGGACCGGUCAAUGGUGAUGGUAAAUCCAGCGCGGUGCGGUGUUCGGCAGCUCAUGCGGCUCCUCCCAAGUUGAUGCGUCUACCAGAUGCGAAGCAUCGCUGCCAUUAAGUUAGGAAGAGGGAUUUCUAUGGAGAUUGUGAAUAAUAUCUUGGGUUCGAACACACUGGUACUGCAGCAGGAAGGGCUUAUACAGCGAAUUAGGCGAAGUGAAUUUAGCACCAGAAAGGGCUUAUACAACCAAUCAGAUUUACCUCAGUCAUGCUUGGGCUAUACUGUAGCCAUACUUUCUUGUCUUUAUGCCCGGGCGUUCCAUCAUGUUGCAAGAUUUCAUACGAGGCUAGCAUUUUGUUGAACAUGGUCUUAAAAAAGGUACCAGAGCUUCCUUUUUUUGCGGAAUUUUGUGCAAGCUCCGAUUUCCACAGAAAAUAUUUUAAGCAAUCUUUGGUUCUGCUUGUUGUCUGGAUUGCGCAGUUAGAAGGACAUGUGUCAUAAUAUAUCCUCUGGUUGUUUACAUUUAUCUACCUGCAGAACCGGCACACACAUGAUGAGCUGGUGAGAUUUUUUCUAGAAAGAUAAAUUUAUAGAUCAUAUUGGUUCACGAUGAUCACAAUCUGCAUACACAAUGAUGACUUACAACCAAGAUGUGUUACAACUAUGUUGGUCCCCUGAUGAAAGCAUCGACCUGACAGUGAAAAACACAAUUGAUGUACCGGGAAUAGACUUCAGAUGGGGAAAAAAGCAUGUUUGGUCAUCUGAGUGCCAUGGCAUACCUGUUGGUUGGUAGAGGUUGCUCUUGGUGCAUGCCCAUGAUAAUGUUUUAAUUCAAGGUUUAUCAACAAUGGUGCAUGCAUAUUUAGUUUCCAGAAAUUUGGUGUAAAGGCCGCCCUCCUCUGGUAGAUGUUUGCUUCACUUUUGAAAGCGGUUGAGUGUAGAUGUGUGACUUGAUAUUAUUGUAACCUCGUGAAAAAUGGAGAGACUAAUGGCUUUUUUGUUCAUAAUAACUACUACUUCAGUGGGUGAAACCUCAAGUUAUAUGAUAGCAACUGUGGGCAUGGAUUUGGUGUACUGUAAAUACCUUAUCAUGUGUUUCAUAUCUCUAAUCGGUAGACUAUUACUUGCUUUCAUAGUUUGUUGGGGAAGAUAUAUAUUUUUGUAGUUGUACUAGAAAUUAUCAUCAAACUCUUUUGAUUAUUUUCUGCCACUAACAUUCUGCCUCUAAAUAGAUAUGUUUUAGAUCAUUCCUCACCCUUCCACAAAAAAAUAGCAUCAUCAAUCUCAAAUUUGUAUAUCAUCUUCAAACAUCAAUCAGAGCAGCAGCCAUCUGAAUGGCAGGAGUAGUAAUAUUAUUGUUUCUUACAGAAUUUUGAACAUUUUUACUACUCUGUGCUAAUUCUACUAUACAAUUGGUACUAAUUAUACAGCUGUUACUAAAAAAUAGAACUUUUUAAAAUCCUUCGACCAUACAAUUGCAUGAAGAAUUCAACUAAGAGUAGAACAUCAAAGAUGGGAAUGAAAGAAGGACACCAUGGAAUAUAUACUAACUUAACCAAAACUGUAACUGACGUGCAAUAAAAUCCACCGCCACCCUUUAGUUUCUUUAUGCUCCCCGUCUCCUCAUAUCAUUGGCCCAUCUAGGGGACGCCACCGGGAUCAGCGGACACGGAGUGGCUAGCCCCGGAAUGAGGCAUGUCGGAGCUGCUGGAAGCUCAACAUCAAGGUCGUCAAGAAGGACCGGUCAAGGAUAGGACUGACAAGGAGAUCAUGCGCAACCAAUACAUUCUAUCUUUCUAGGCAUUGCAAUCUGUGAGUUCCAAAUUUUGCCAUACAUUUUUGAUAUCUCAAUUUGU